rnacentral:sRNA from 1 species
AGUAAUAAAUAUAAUAGCCAAAGAUGAAUAAUAUGUUCUCUAUAGCACCUUAAUAAUAGC